rnacentral:rRNA from 1 species
GAGGGUGCAAAUAAGGGCGUAUGGUGGAUGCCUAGACACAAAAUGGCGAUGAAGGACGCGGCGUAGCUGCGAUAAGCCUCGGGUAGGUGUGUAGCAACCUUUGAUCCGGGGAUUUCCGAAUGGGGCAACCUAAUUGAGUAAACCUCAAUUGUUCCGAUUCAAGAGAUCGGAGAGCGUAUCCGCUGAAGUGAAACAUCUCAGUAAGCGGAAGAACAAAGAAUAAAAAUUUAUUCCCCAAGUAGCGGCGAGCGAAAAGGGAACAGCCUAAACUUAAGUUUCAAGUUAUUAGAAACUGGAUGUCAGAAUUUCGCGAAAGCGGAGUUACUAGUUCAGACCUUUUAGUAGUUUGUAUUUGAGGGUCGUAGGAUAGAAACAUUUUAACUUUGAAAUUGCAGUACCGAUGGUGGUAAGGCAAUUUCACGGUUAAAGGAAAGUUACAAAAUUGAAAACCCCUAUUUCACAAAUAUCACCAAUUUGACGGUGAAAAUUUUGAGAUAAGUUCGCGACGUGAUGAGCGAAGUGUAUCAAGAGAUACACGAGUGAAGAACAACAAAGAAAUUAGCCAAAAUUUGCCCGCCCGCAAGGGAAGCAAAAUAAUGGCCAAUUUCAUCGUUGCUCCUCCUCAAUGUGCCAAAGGCACAAUUUCGUCGUCGCGCCUUGAAUUUGUCACAUUAUUUUACUUUCAAAUUUGGCGAGAUUUGUGAAAUAGGGGUUCGGUUAGUUGAAGCAACUGGAAAGUUGCGCCAGAGUGAGUGAUAGCCUCGUAAACAAAAACCGACAAUCUUUCUUGUUUUUAGUGGUAACCAAUCCACAGAUAGCUUUAUGGUUAUCUAUCCUGAGUACUGCGAGGCCAUAAAACCUAGCAGGAAGUUACCAGUACUAUCUGGUGAGGCUAAAUACAUUUUGUGAUCGAUAGUGAACAAGUACCGUGGGGGAAAGGUGAAAAGUAGCCCGGAAGGGCGUUGAAAUAAUACCUGAAACCAUAUGCUUACAAGGACUCGAAGCCCGUAAGGGUGACGAGGUGCCUAUUGAAGAAUGAGCCAACGACUUUACACACGCGGCUCGGCUAAGUUGCCUCUGGCAAUGGAGUCACAGGGAAACCGAGUGUUAAUAGCGCGCUGCUCGCAAGAGCAAGUCGUUUGUGUAAGACCCGAAACCAAGCGAGCUUGUCCUGGCCAGGAUGAACUCCGAGUAAAAUCGGAGGGAGGUCCGAACUAGUUGGUUGUGCAAAACCUUUGGAUGAGCUGGGAUAAGGAGUGAAAAGCUAAACGAGCUUGGUAAUAGCUGGUUCUCUCCGAAAUAGUUUUCGGACUAGCGGACAAAAAAACUGCUGUGGGGGUAGAGCUACUGGUUCGGAAGUAAAGGGGGAAACUCCGACUUCCGAGUCAAACUCCGAAUACCAUAGUAGAUCAGUUGUCUAGUUAGACUGCGGAGGCUAAGCCCCGUGGUCGCGAGGGAAAAAGCCCAGAUCGUCGUCUAAGGCCCCUAAAUUCUUACUAAGUGUUAAAGGUAGUAGUAAUCCAUUGACAGAUAGGAGGUUGGCUUAGAGGUAGCCAUCCUUUAAAGAGUGUGUAACAACUCACUAUUCGACGGGUUAUUGCGCCGAAAAUGUACCGGGGCUAAGUAAGAUGCCGAAGACACGAAUGCCGUGCAUAGCACAGAAAUUCCAAAUUACAAAUUACAAAUCACAAACAAAUUCCAAAUCUAAAAUUUCAAAAUUCCAAACACGUUUUGGUCAUUUGAAUUUUGGUCAUUGGCGCUUGUUUGUAAUUUGGUGCUUGGGAUUUGGUGCUUCCGCGCUGUGCGCGGCGUGGUAGGAGAGCAUUCCCAUCUGCUGUGAAGCCGUACUCGAGAGAGGCGGUGGAGCGUUGGGAAGAGAGAAUGUUGGUAUGAGUAACCCAAAAAUCGGGUGCGAAACCCGAUCCCCGCAAAUCCAAGGUUUCCGUGGCAAUGGCAAUCAUCCACGGGUUAGGCGAUCCUAAGGCAAUGGUGAAAACCGCAGCUAAUGGGUAGCCGGUUAAUAUUCCGGCCCGUCUGAUAUAUUCGAUGGAGAGACGAAGGAAAAAAGAUUUAGCGCCUUAAUGGUUUGGCGUCGCAAGCGUUAAGGACUGUUCGACUAGCAAAUCUGUUGAACUGCUUUUAAUAGCAAAGUCCACGCGCCGGCGUAAGGCAAAGUUUUUACUUUGCUAAUUAGAUUGAAGAGCCUUCCGAGAAAAUCUUCUAAGAUUAGUAUGUCAGGCAUCGUACCGUAAACCGACACAGGUGGAUGAGGCGAGUAGCCUAAGGGGAACGAGUGAAUCUUCGUUAAGGAACUCGGCAAAAAAGCGGCCGUAAGUUAGCGAUAAGGCCUGCCUUUCGCAAGAAAGGUUGCAACAAAAGUCUCACUGGCGACUGUUUAACAAAAACACAGCUCCCUGCGAACUCGUAAGAGGAUGUAUAGGGGGUGACACCUGACCGAUGCGAGAAGGUUAACGGUGGCGGUCAUAUGUUUUAAUAUGUGUGGCUGACUGCCCGAAGCCCUCGUCAAUGUCAGCGGUAACUAUAACCGUUCUAAGGUAGCGCAAUUCCUUUUCAGGUAAGUUCUGAAGCGCACGAAAGGUGUAACGAUUGGUGAACUGUCUCAACGAAGAGCUCGGUGAAAAUGCGAUUCCCGUGAAGACGCGGGAUACCUGCAGCAAGACGAAAAGACCCCAGGAGCUUUACUGUAGCUUGGUAUUGGUUUUAGAGUUCGGAUGCGUAGCGUAGUGGUUAGAGGUUGAAUCCUCGCUUUCGGGCGAGGUGGACUCGACAAUGAAACAUCCAUCUUUCGGACUUUAAAUUCUAACCUCGCCGGCAAAAACGGCGGGAGACAGUGCCUGGUGGGCAGUUUAAAUGGGGCAUUUUCCUCCUAAAGAGUAAUGGAGGAGUUUAUUAAGGUCGGCUUAGCCCGGAUGGAAAUCGGGCUGAACGCGUAAAGGCAAAAGCCGGCUUAACUGCGAGACCUACAAGUCGAGCAGAUGCGAAAGCAGAACUUAGUGACCCGACAGUUAUGUCCUGUACUUCACAAAUAACAUCAAUUUGACGGAGCGAAUUUUGAGACAGAUUCGCGACGCGAGAAGGAAACUGUGGCUGAUGCCACGUUGACGACGAGCAACAAAGAAGCUGGCCAAAAUUCGCCCGCUUCGCAGAAGAAGCUUAAAAAUGAGCGAUCUCUGUGUUGCUCCUCCUUAAUGUAGCUAAAGCCACAAUUUCGUCGUCGCGCCUUGAGUUCAUCUCAUUUUUAAACUUUCAAAUUUUGAUGGUAUUUGUGAAGUACAGGACUCUUUAUAGAAAGGCUGGAGACAUCGGCCAAAAGUUACCCUGGGGAUAACAGGCUGGUGUUGCCCGAGAGUCCAUAUCGACGGCAACGCUCGGCACCUCGAUGUCGGCUCGCCCUAGCGCCCCGCUGAAGAAGGUGGGAAGCGUAUGGCUGUUCGCCAUUUAAAAGGGCACGCGAGCUGGGUUCAAACCGUCAAAAGUUGAACCAAAAAAAGACAUCAAGCAAGUUAUCAAAACGGCGGCCUUUGGCAGUAAUGCCAAAGAGCGAAACCCUAAAUCAAGCAGAGCUUGGUUCGGGUAAAAAAUCGACUCAUAUCGAUGAAGUCCUAUAAAUUUCGAAACCUGGGUUUUUAGGAUAAUAUCGAGGGAAGUCUAGCCAAUACUUUGUAUUGGAAUGACUAAUGUCUAAUUACUAAUUUCUAAUCAAUGUCUAAUGUCAAAAUGUCCAAUGUCUAAAUUUUUUAGUCAUUUGGUCAUUAAAUUAUUGGGAUUUGAUUAGUCAUUAGAUAUUAGGAAUUAGAAAUUCCACCGCGGAGCGGUGGUUAUGACCCCGUAGAGACUUAAUCUUUAUUUAAAGAUUAGAUUCGCAAUUUGCGGAUAAUACGUCGAUCUCCUUUGCGGUUCGGGAUUUAUCCUGAGCUUGUCGAAGGAUGGUGGUAUAGUCCAAACAAUUAGUAAUAAUUGAAUUUAAUGCGUGAGACAGGUUGGUCUCUAUCUGUUGCAGGCGUGAGUCCGAACAGGACUCGUAAACACUUGAGGGGAGUCGUCCCUAGUACGAGAGGACCGGGAUGAACGAGUCUCUGGCGUACCAGCUUUCAUACCAAUGGAACUGCUGGGUAGCUAUUACUCGGAAGGGAUAAGCGCUGAAAGCAUCUAAGCACGAAACCCACCCCAAGAUUAGGUGUAGGUCCGUAGAAGAUUACUACGUUGAUAGGUCAUAGGUGUAAGGCCCGUAAGGGUUUUAGCCAAGUGAUACUAAUAGACCGCGCUGACCUCUU